rnacentral:rRNA from 1 species
AACGAAGGAUGCAAGCGUUAUCCGGAUUCAUUGGGUUUAAAGGGAGCGUAGGUGGCCUUAUAAGUCAGUGGUGAAAUCUCUGGGCUUAACCCAGAAAUUGCCAUUGAUACUGUAGGGCUUGAGUAUAGUUGCCGUUGGCGGAAUAUGACAUGUAGUGGUGAAAUACAUAGAGAUGUCAUAGAACACCGAUUGCGAAGGCAGCUGACGAAACUAUAACUGACACUGAGGCUCGAAAGUGCGGGGAUCAAACAGG